rnacentral:rRNA from 1 species
AGGGCACCACCCACCGUGGAGCCUGGGGGUUAAUUUAACUUAACUCGGGAAAACUCACCCGGCCCGGACACCGGAAGGAUUGACUGAAUGAAAGCUCUUUUUUAAUUCCGUGGGGGGUGGGGCGUGGGCGGUCUUAUUUGGUGGAGCGAUUUUUCUGGUUAUUUUUCCUAACAAAAAAGACUCUGGCCUAUUACAAAUACAGUAUAUGUUUAUAUAUAACACGCAUCUCCUACGGAGAAGAGGGGCCUCCCCCCAUGAAAAAAAAAAAUAAAAAGGCGGUGAUGUCCUUAGAUGUCCUGGGCUGUCCGCGGGUGACCCUGAGCUACACUGAAAGAACCGUUGUGCGUCGUCGGAUAAGACGGAACAACCGAAAUACUUUCUUGCUUGCUUUCGGGGGUGGGAAUUAUUUUUCCUAUUAAGCGCUUAAACCAAAUAUUGCGAGUAAAAGCGGGUCGUUUACUUCCGUUCAUUUCGUUCAAGCCCUCCGUCCCACUACCCAUCGGUGGGGGCGAUUGAGUG